rnacentral:rRNA from 1 species
AUGCUCCCGAUCUAUUUUGUCAAAUUACUUGGAUCGUCUUAUGGAAUUGCCAGCCAUCGUAUUUUCACCUCAUGUUAUUUCUUAAUCCUUGUCCCACUAGACAUCCACUACAUGUUUGGUAAUGACGUGAUGUUGAGGCGGCUAGGAGAAGCUCAGCAGCCAGAUCAAGGGCUAUCGAGAUGGACCUGGGAGCCAAGCACUUGUUGGCGUAGAUGCGUGGCACUGCGGCAACUAAUCAAGAGCGAGGGCAGUGCACAUCAGAGCUACGCUGAAUGUAGCGAGUCAACCACGAAUUGGGUAUGUUCACACGAGGGAUGGGAGAGGAGAAGAACAUUAACAUUUUUCAUGAUUUGGAUGAAAAUUUCAGUUCAUAGUUUCUCCGUACGUGGCAACACACUAGCGGUACUCAUGGGCUUAGGAUGA